GUUCAUGGACACCCAGACCAGCUGAGACUCUGUCAAGGAACUUGAAAAUUAUACUGGAAGCAGUCAUCCAAAUCCUUUCAUGUAAAUUAGGGACCUGUGCAUAUGAUAUCUGUGACAAUCAGGCUAUGCUUGUCAGGUUUAUUUUGAUUUGAGGGACUUUUUACCUUCGGAAGACUGC